CUCGAAGGGCGAAGGCAAAGGGGGAAAGUAGGCGAGAGGAGGCUGGUAGCCCGGGUCCUCCCAAGCCCCGCCCACUGCGCAGGCUCCACCCUCCCCCGUAAGAACACACCUCCCACUCCCGCCUUCGGCUGGUGCCUCCUGCUGGCCUCAACCACCCACGUGGUCCGAGCCCGGCCCUGCCGGCAGGGGACCUUACGGAUUUUGUACGCAUUUUGGCUUGCAAGGUGUUUAAUUGUUGCCGGGCGGGACUUACUGCAAGCUGUCAAGUCUGGGGUUGUAUUUUGUUGAGUCGAAAGUGAAAUUUUCCUUCGGCCGACGUGACAGGGCUUUGUUUGGUGAAAAAAAGGGUACUUGAGCCCCCUCAUUCCAUUGCCACGGGAGGGCGCAUUUCUCAGCUUUUGCUCUUCCAACCUGCUAAAAGGAAUUCCUGGAUCUAAACACCAGGUUGAUACAGAGCCCCUGUUUGAGUUCCCUGAGUCAUACAGCAAAUUCCCACUGGCUAUCUAUUUUACAUCUGGUGAGCCAUGAUGGUGCUUCUAUUCCUGUUAUAUUGAGAUUGCAUCACUUAAGGUUGUGAAGAAGUUCCCUGAGAGUCGAGUCCAUUCUGAAUCUUGCAAAGGAACUCAGCUCAAGAAGGGUCUCUUGUAAGGAUAGAGGGGAAUCUUCAAAGAAAUCUUUAGAAAGUCCAGGCUGGCCUCAUGAGAACUGAAGAGUCGACAGGCAGGUAGUGUGUGUGUGGUGGAGAUGUAUGUGUUUCUAUCUGUGUCAGGCUUUAUAGUCUCAUAGUCUCGCCUGUGCUUUUUUUCAGUGAGUCUGUUCCAUUCUCCUGCUUUCUCUGCCGACUCACUGCCUGUCGGCUGCCAAGCUUGCAAGUGGCUUUGGUGACUGCCUGGACCCCAGCCCAUAUUCAGUGUCACCGCACAACUCAACUCCCUCAUUAUCAUUGCCUAUGUUCUCUUGUAUCCUGGCUUAUAGCAUAGUGGGAGCGGGCAGGGGGUGGGAAGACAGACGAUUUGCUGCGUCUUGUUGUGAAGACCCUUUAGGCUGUCAGGUUUUACCUGAGUGUAGUGGGAGUUGGUAUUAGUUCCUAACAACAGCAGUUACUGGGCUUCCCUGAUAGCUCAUUUGGUAAAGAAUCUGCCUGCAAUGCAGGAGACCCCAGUUCGAUUUCUGGGUCGGAAAGAUCCCUGGAGAAGGGAUAGGCUACCACACUCCAGUGGUUCCAGUAGUUACUACCAGCAAGUUCUUAUGCUAAGCAAUUUACAUAUAUUGUCUCCUAAAGGUCUCAACCUCCUUACUUUCAUCUCCUUUAUGCAAAAGGAAACUAACUGUUGAAGGAGAGAGGUUAAGUAACUUGCAGUGGUCACAGACCUCAACUACUGGGAUUUGACGUGAGAUUUUUCAGAAGGCAGAGGUUGUGCCCUUCGCUGGUUUUCCACAUCUCUCCCUGGGCGUGUCACUGACUGCUCCUGACCACUGCCAUAGCUUAACCAGGCGACUUCCCGUAAGUAAGCUUUCUCUCUUUGGAGAAUUAGAUGCUUUGUGAGAAGGGGAACUCUCACCAGUGGGUUACAGAGGACCACCCUCUAACAGUGUUUCCCAGUUUCCAGUCUGAAACAAAGCUGUGAUCUUGCCAGACCUUAUGUAGGCAAGAAGAGGCUGCUCUCUUGGUUUCUGAUAUUGAGUCAUCUACCAACUUAAGAAAUAGUCCAAACAGCCUACACUUUGGCUUUUAUAUAAGUUAUAAAUUAUCGUUAAUGUUCAAUAAUAGUUUAGUGCUUAUUAGUACCUGCUUGCUAUGUGGUGGUAUGUUGCUACUGCUAAGUUACUUCAGUCAUGUCUGACUCUGUGCGACCUUAUAGACAGCAGCCCACCAGGCUUCCCUGUCCCUGGGAUUCUCCAGGCAAGAACACUGGAGUGGGUUGC